rnacentral:lncRNA from 1 species
CUGCUAUUGACUCUACCCAGGAUGGGGAUCGUCUGGCUCCAACAAGAACCACACGCUGCCUGGAGAUGCUGCUGGCCCGCUUCUCGCUUCCUGCUUGCCUUGCCUUGCGCGCAUUCGGUCGUCGUGCUGACGUGUGAGCGUUAAGUAAAUU